rnacentral:rRNA from 1 species
UACGUAGGGUGCGAGCGUUGUCCGGAAUCAUUGGGCGUAAAGCGCGCGUAGGCGGCCCGGUAAGUCCGCUGUAAAAGUCAAAGGCUCAACCUUUGAAUGUCAGUGGAUACUGCCGGGCUAGAGUCCAGAAGAGGCGAGUGGAACUCCUGGUGUAGCGGUGGAAUGCGCAGAUAUCAGGAAGAACACCAAUGGCGAAGGCAGCACUCUGGGACGUGACUGACGCUGAGACGCGAAAGCGUGGGGAGCAAACAGG